UACGAGAGGCCCAAACGUUAUUCGGAAUUACUGGGCUUAAAGAGUUCGUAGGCGGCGCAGAAAGUAGGGUGUGAAAGCCCUCGGCUUAACCGAGGAAUUGCGCCCUAAACUACUGUGCUUGAGGACCUAGAGGUGAGCAGAACAGAUGGUGGAGCGGUGAAAUGCGUUGAUAUCAUCUGGAAUACCGGAGGCGAAGGCGGCUCACUGGGGGUUUUCUGACGCGUGAGGAACGAAAGCCAGGGUAGCGGAACGGG
rnacentral:rRNA from 1 species